AUUUUGGGUCGAUUUAACUCAAAAUAAUAUCUUUCUCCGAAACGUCACACGCUGAGUAAUCAAGUUUUAUGAAUUUGAGUGACUGUUACUCAAAUAAAUACAAAUAAGUGGAAAACUAAAAUUUGAGUUCGCUGUGAAAAAAUGGUGAAGUCUGCUUGCUAAUGGAGAAGUCCGGUGAUGAACUAGAAUUGAAAUUAAAUUAUUUGGGCCUGAGAUAUGGUCAUUAUUAUAGAGUUUCAUAGAAAACGAGAAAACGAAACAGAUUAAAGCAACGACUAAACAAUUUGAAGAGUGGUUCUUUUCGUUUAUUGGUUAUAUCGUGGAUCUGUAUUGGCCUGAAUCCAGACUCUGAAGGCUUCGGAUUUACGGCAGGAACAUCCUCUCAAGACAAUGAAAAUCCAGGUGAAGAUGAAUACUGGAUACUGCGCAUAUCAGAGACAUCGCGAGCUUUUAAGGAUUCGGGCACUUUCCGAAGAGAAAAACAUCCCCCCAUAAUCUGGCCAGGCCGAUAUUACAUGCUUCCAGUUCUUCGACUUCUUGUCUAAAUAAAAAUACCUUUAUAAGCUUUAUAUUAUUGAUGUGUAUUAUAAGUAUUAUGUAGCAUUUAUAUAGGAAAUAAAAUGUUUCUGAACUGGCACCAAAAUCAUUGUUAAUAUAAUUAAAAAUAAUCAAAACUUUUUUUGGCAUGACAACCUCAAAUUCAUAAAUAUUCGCUUUUAUGAGGUGAGUAAAUGUAACUCAAAAUAAAAUAUCUUCUGAAGUGACUCAAAAUUGAGUUACGGGCCAUUAACUCAAUUUUGUCUUGAGCCAGUUUUUCCGAUUUUGAGUUAAUCUGACCCAAAUUUGAGUUCAGCCGAACGA